rnacentral:rRNA from 1 species
GUUAAAAAGCUCGUAGUUGGAUCUCGGCGGUCUGAGGGCGGUUCGCUUGCUUAAGCGCUACUGCCCUAUAGGCCGUAGUUUUGCCAGAGGCCUCGGGGUGCUCUUAACCGAGUGUCCUGCGGCGCUGGCGGGUUUACUUUGAAAAAAUUAGAGUGCUCAAAGCAGGCUUUUACGCCUGAAUAUUCGUGCAUGGAAUAAUAGAAUAGGAAGUCGUUUCUAUUUUGUUGGUUUUCGGAAAUCGACUUAAUGAUUAAUAGGGACAGUCGGGGGCAUUUGUAUUCAAACGACAGAGGUGAAAUUCUUGGACCGUUUGAAGACAAACUACUGCGAAAGCAUUUGCCAAGAAUGUUUUCAUUAAUCAAGAACGAAAGUUAGAGGUUCGAAGGCGAUUAGAUACCGCCCUAGUUCUAACCAUAAACGAUGCCAGCUAGCGAUCUGCCGACGUUUUUUUUGUAGACUCGGCAGGAAGCUUCCGGGAAACCAAAGCAUUUGGGUUCCAGGGGAAGUAUGGUUGCAAAGCUGAAACUUAAAGGAAUUGACGGAAGGGCACCACCAGGAGUGGAGCCUGUGGCUUAAUUUGACUCACACGGGAAAUCUCACCAGGCCCGGACACUGGAAGGAUUGAC